UCAACCACGGGCGCGGUAAUUCCAGCUCCAAUAGCGUAUAUUAAAGUUGUUGCAGUUAAAAAGCUCGUAGUUGAACCUUGGGUCUGGCUGGCCGGUCCGCCUCACCGCGAGUACUGGUCCGGCUGGACCUUUCCUUCUGGGGAACCUCAUGGCCUUCACUGGCUGUGGGGGGAACCAGGACUUUUACUGUGAAAAAAUUAGAGUGUUCAAAGCAGGCCUUUGCUCGAAUACAUUAGCAUGGAAUAAUAGAAUAGGACGUGUGGUUCUAUUUUGUUGGUUUCUAGGACCGCCGUAAUGAUUAAUAGGGAUAGUCGGGGGCGUCAGUAUUCAGCUGUCAGAGGUGAAAUUCUUGGAUUUGCUGAAGACUAACUACUGCGAAAGCAUUCGCCAAGGAUGUUUUCAUUAAUCAGGGAACGAAAGUUAGGGGAUCGAAGACGAUCAGAUACCGUCGUAGUCUUAACCAUAAACUAUGCCGACUAGGGAUCGGACGGGCUUCUAUGAUGACCCGUUCGGCACCUUACGAGAAAUCAAAGUUUUUGGGUUCUGGGGGGAGUAUGGUCGCAAGGCUGAAACUUAAAGAAAUUGACGGAAGGGCACCACAAGGCGUGGAGCCUGCGGCUUAAUUUGUCACAACCACACGGAAA
rnacentral:rRNA from 1 species